UCAUCAGCAGGGUUCAGUCUAGUCCAGAAGAACAGGUUGUUAGAUUGACUUCCCCAUCAGCAGGGUCCAGUCUAGUCCAGAAGAACAGGUUGUUAGAUUGUUUGGCUUGUCUUCCUCUAUCAGAGCAGCUAGUAAAAGUCAAGUAGUAUUUAUUAUGCAACAUUCUCCCACCGAGAAGCUGUUCAACACUACGUUGACUCCAUAUUGACAACCUUAAAGUGAGUCUGUCUCUGAACCUCAACUUCACAGUUUGUUGCUAAAGUAGUGCAUCGUUUGGCUUCACCACAGCUGUCUGUUAGAGAGGGUCAGAGUUCAGGUGGAAGCACAGCUGUCUGUUAGAGAGUCAGAGUUCAGGUGGAAGCACAGGUGGCUCCAGGUAAUUGGGAGUAAACGUUCAGGUGGAAGCCCAGGUGGCUCCAGGUAAUUGGGAGUCAGAGAGUUCAGGUGGAAGCCCAGGUGGUUCCAGGUAAUUGGGAGUCAGAAAGUUCAGGUGGAAGCCCAGGUGUCUCCAGGUUACAUGGUCGGAAGCCCAGGUGUCUCCAGGUUACAUGGUCGGAAGCCCAGGUGUCUCCAGGUUACAUGGUCGGAAGCCCAGGUGUCUCCAGGUUACAUGGUCGGAAGCCCAGGUGUCUCCAGGUUACAUGGUCGGAAGCCCAGGUGUCUCCAGGUUACAUGGUCGGAAGCCCAGGUGUCUCCAGGUUACAUGGUCGGAAGCCCAGGUGUCUCCAGGUUACAUGGUCGGAAGCCCAGGUGUCUCCAGGAUACAUGGUCGGAAGCCCAGGUGUCUCCAGGUUACAUGGUCGGAAGCCCAGGUGUCUCCAGGUUACAUGGUCGGAAGCCCAGGUGUCUCCAGGUUACAUGGUUGGAAGCCCAGGUGUCUCCAG